GAAGGCUAAGACAGUCAGGAAGUUGGCUUAGAAGCAGCCAUCCUUCAAAGAAAGCGUAAUAGCUCACUGAUCGAGUCUUUCUGCGCGGAAGAUGUAACGGGGCUAAGUCGAUAACCGAAGCCGCGGAUUCGCAGCAAUGCGAGUGGUAGGGGAGCGUUCCGUAAGCCUGCGAAGGCGGACCCGCGAGGGCCGCUGGAGGUAUCGGAAGUGCGAAUGCUGACAUGAGUAACGUUAAAGCGGGUGAAAAGCCCGCUCGCCGCAAGCCCAAGGUUUCCUGCUCUACGUUCAUCGGAGCAGGGUGAGUCGGCCCCUAAGGCGAGGCUGAGAAGCGUAGCCGAUGGGAAGCAGGUUAAUAUUCCUGCACCGCCGCCAAGUGCGAAGGGGGGACGGAGCAUUGAAGGUCAUCCGGGUGUUGGAAAUCCCGGUUUACGAGCGUAGGAGGUCGACAGGCAAAUCCGUCGACGAAUCUCCGAGGCGAAGGAUCGAGGGCCGUAUGGCUUGAAGUGACCGGAUGUGCUUCCAGGAAAAGCCUCUAAGCAUCAGCUUGGCGGGACCGUACCGCAAACCGACACUGGUGGGCGAGCUGAAUAUGCUCAGGCGCUUGAGAGAACUCAGGAGAAGGAACUCGGCAAAUUGACACCGUAACUUCGGGAUAAGGUGUGCCUUUGUAGCGUGAAGGGAGAAACACCCGGAGCGUGAAGAGGUCUCAGAGAAUCGGUGGCUGCGACUGUUUACUAAAAACACAGCACUCUGCAAAGAUGAAAGUCGACGUAUAGGGUGUGAUGCCUGCCCGGUGCUGGAAGAUUAAUUGAUGGGGUGCAAGCCCUUGAUCGAAGUCCCAGUAAACGGCGGCCGUAACUAUAACGGUCCUAAGGUAGCGAAAUUCCUUGUCGGGCAAGUUCCGACCUGCACGAAUGGCAUAACGAUGGCCACACUGUCUCCUCCUGAGACUCAGUGAAGUUGAAGUGUUUGUGAUGAUGCAAUCUCCCCGCGGCUAGACGGAAAGACCCCAUGAACCUUUACUGCAGCUUUGCAUUGGACUUUGAACCGAUCUGUGUAGGAUAGGCGGGAGGCAGAGAAACCGGGACGCCAGUACCGGUGGAGCCAUCCUUGAAAUACCGCCCUGAUUUGUUUGAGGUUCUAACCUAGGCCCGUGAACCGGGUCGGGGACCGUGCAUGGUAGGCAGUUUGACUGGGGCGGUCUCCUCCUAAAGGGUAACGGAGGAGUGCGAAGGUACGCUAGGUACGGUCGGAAAUCGUGCUGAUAGUGCAAUGGCAAAAGCGUGCUUGACUGCGAGACCGACAAGUCGAGCAGAUGCGAAAGCAGGUCUUAGUGAUCCGGUGGCUCUGAAUGGAAGGGCCAUCGCUCAACGGAUAAAAGGUACUCUGGGGAUAACAGGCUGAUACCGCCCAAGAGUUCAUAUCGACGGCGGUGUUUGGCACCUCGAUGUCGGCUCAUCUCAUCCUGGGGCUGUAGCCGGUCCCAAGGGUAUGGCUGUUCGCCAUUUAAAGAGGUACGUGAGCUGGGUUUAAAACGUCGUGAGACAGUUU
rnacentral:rRNA from 1 species